CGGCCUGUGUGAAAAAGAUAACUCUAUCUAGAACGCAAGCGUUCUUCGCUAGAGUUCCUAUUUUCACUUUGUCCG
rnacentral:ncRNA from 1 species